UAGGGAAUCUUCGGCAAUGGACGAAAGUCUGACCGAGCAACGCCGCGUGAGUGAAGAAGGUUUUCGGAUCGUAAAACUCUGUUGUUAGAGAAGAACAAGGACGUUAGUAACUGAACGUCCCCUGACGGUAUCUAACCAGAAAGCCACGGCUAACUACGUGCCAGCAGCCGGGGUAAUACGUAGGUGGCAAGCGUUGUCCGGAUUUAUUGGGCGUAAAGCGAGCGCAGGCGGUUUCUUAAGUCUGAUGUGAAAGCCCCCGGCUCAACCGGGGAGGGUCAUUGGAAACUGGGAGACGUGAGUGCAGAAGAGGAGAGUGGAAUUCCAUGUGUAGCGGUGAAAUGCGUAGAUAUAUGGAGGAACACCAGUGGCGAAGGCGGCUCUCUGGUCUGUAACUGACGCUGAGGCUCGAAAGCGUGGGGAGCAAACAGG
rnacentral:rRNA from 1 species